UGACAGUACUCCUACGGGGAGCAGCAGUGGGGAAUAUUGCACAAUGGGCGCAAGCCUGAUGCAGCCAUGCCGCGUGUGUGAAGAAGGCCUUCGGGUUGUAAAGCACUUUCAGUCGUGAGGAAGGUGGUAGUGUUAAUAGCACUAUCAUUUGACGUUAGCGACAGAAGAAGCACCGGCUAACUCCGUGCCAGCAGCCGCGGUAAUACGGAGGGUGCGAGCGUUAAUCGGAAUUACUGGGCGUAAAGCGCAUGCAGGUGGUUUGUUAAGUCAGAUGUGAAAGCCCGGGGCUCAACCUCGGAAUAGCAUUUGAAACUGGCAGACUAGAGUACUGUAGAGGGGGGUAGGAAUUUCAGGUGUAGCGGUGAAAUGCGUAGAGAUCUGAAGGAAUACCGGUGGCGAAGGCGGCCCCCUGGACAGAUACUGACACUCAGAUGCGAAAGCGUGGGGAGCAAACAGGAUUAGAUACCCUGGUAG
rnacentral:rRNA from 1 species